AACGAACGCUGGCGGCAGGCCUAACACAUGCAAGUCGAGCGAGGACUUCGGUUCUAGCGGCGGACGGGUGAGUAACGCGUGGGAAUGUGCCCUUCUCUACGGAAUAGCCCUGGGAAACUGGGAGUAAUACCGUAUACGCCCUAUUGGGGAAAGAUUUAUCGGAGAAGGAUCAGCCCGCGUUGGAUUAGGUAGUUGGUGGGGUAAUGGCCUACCAAGCCGACGAUCCAUAGCUGGUUUGAGAGGAUGAUCAGCCACACUGGGACUGAGACACGGCCCGGACUUCUACGGGAGGCAGCAGUGGGGAAUCUUAGACAAUGGGGGCAACCCUGAUCUAGCCAUGCCGCGUGAGUGAUGAAGGCCUUAGGGUUGUAAAGCUCUUUCAGCUGGGAAGAUAAUGACGGUACCAGCAGAAGAAGCCCCGGCUAACUCCGUG
rnacentral:rRNA from 1 species